UGAAAUUGCUCAUUAGGUUUAGUGUUUUUUUUUAAUUCAGAUUUUAUGCACACAAAUUACUCGGUGUUAUAUAAGAAGAGCUUCCCACCUCAAACUGCACCGGCAGGAUAUGUUUAUCCUACAUGUUCUGCCUCUAGUGGCUUGGAAAAAAAUAUAUUUAGAAAUCAUGCAGUUUCACCUCCUACAUUAGAGAACCGAGUUCCUCCUACUUUUACAGUUUACUUCUGAUCCACUGGUUCACACAUCAGUGUCUGAAGAGAAAGACAAAGGUGGAGCAACUUCAGUUUUUUCUGAUAAGGAUUCAAGACCAACAAUAUCAUCACCUGCUACGGAUGACAAGUACUUAGAUGAAGUAUAUAAUUCUAUUGUUGGAAUGAGUUGUUCCAAGGUUACUGAAUCUGAGAUUGUUGAAGUUGAUGGUCCUAAUGAUUUAGAACACCAAUUGAUCAAAGAUCAAGAGCCUUGUCUUAUGAAAACUGAGUUUGAUGAACCUAUGUCUUAUUUGAAGCAAUAACCCUUUUGCAUAUAUACUAGGGGCUACUACAAGAAAGCUAACUUACAAUGAUAGGAAGUAUUCUGAAUCAUCAUAUCAUGCAGCUGACGAAGAUGGAACAAACAAAAAGUACACAAGACGAGGUCCCUUUGGAAACAAGUUUCUAAGGAUGUUGCUACCUUUCUGGUCAAAUUCAUUGCUCCAGCGCCACGUAAUGGUGCACAUGAAGGAAAAGUGAGACAUCAAAAGUCUCCCAGGAAAAUAUUACUCAUUAUGGCAAUUAUGUAAUUCCUCUUGCUGCUCUUGCUUUUCUGGUUUAUUGAUUAUUCCAAAUGCUUUAACAUCAUUUGUACAAAAGAAAUCUUUCUUGAUAAAAAAAAUGCAUGUAAAUUGUGGAACUUAGUAUCUUUAUGAAAGUUGAAGGCAACAAUGUCUCUCCAGGAACUGUGAUCUAAUAAAUUUUACAUUUGCUAACUAAGAAGAUUGAAAUGACAUACUAUUUUUCAAAUUUCAGGCACAUAUAGGAUGUUCUAAGUCUUAAGAGGUUAUCAUUACAUGGAUUUCUUUCCAAUCUGAAAACUAUGACAUGUUAGUUACAGGCAAUUUGGAUGAUAGAAACUGGAAACAAAAAUUUCUAUCCACAUGCUUAUUGGAAGAAUGGUUUUUACAAGUAGGGCAUGCAUGGCAACGAUGGGAAUAUUGCACUACCAAUUGGCACAGGACAGUCUAGAUGAAAGCACACAAGAAGAUGAGCUCCAGUAGGUACUGUCUUUCAUUCUUGGAUGGUAGUGUGUAUCGCGGUGCUUUAUAGUUCAUCAAAUGCUAAUUUCUUGUUCUUACUGUGCACACCUAUCAUAUGAAUUGAUUGUUUUUCUUUCUUGAACCGAUGAUAAAUCAAAUUGGUAUGUGUUCAAAAGAUGAGGAAAAAAUACAGCAAAGCAUCUAUAGAUGAAAUUCAAGUGAUAUUAUAUUAAUUUUAAAAUCUUAGUUUACUUUAAAGUAAACUUAUACAUUUCAAUCUCUUUAUGUUAUUUUGCGAGAAAAUAUAGCUAAGAGGCAUCAAGUUUCUUUUGGUGGAUCUUGUUGAAAAGUUUGGAUUGAUAGAGUAUACUUUUUCGUAAG